UUUGUAGAAGGCGCUUCGGGCGCCUCCCCGGCCCAAGUCCCUUGGAAUAGGGCGUCGCAGAGGGUGAGAAUCCCGUACGCGGCCGGUGGACAGCCCGUGUGAAGCCCUUUCGACGAGUCGAGUUGUUUGGGAAUGCAGCUCUAAAUGGGUGGUAAAUUUCAUCUAAAGCUAAAUAUCUGCCGGAGACCGAUAGCGCACAAGUAGAGUGAUCGAAAGAUGAAAAGCACUUUGAAAAGAGAGUUAAACAGUACGUGAAAUUGUUGAAAGGGAAGCGCUUGCAACCAGACUCGUUCGCGGGUGCUCAACCGUCCCUCGGGGCGGUGCACUCUCCCGCGCUUCGGGCCAGCAUCGGUUCUGGCGGCCGGACAACGGCCCCGGGAAUGUAACUCUCUUCGGGGAGUAUUAUAGCCCGGGGUGCAAUGCGACCAGCCGGGACCGAGGACCGCGCAUCUGCCAGGAUGCUGGCGUAAUGGUUGCCAGCGACCCGUCUUGAAACACGGA
rnacentral:rRNA from 1 species